AUCAUUACCGAGUGAGGGCCCUCUGGGUCCAACCUCCCACCCGUGUUUAUUUUACCUUGUUGCUUCGGCGGGCCCGCCUUAACUGGCCGCCGGGGGGCUUACGCCCCCGGGCCCGCGCCCGCCGAAGACACCCUCGAACUCUGUCUGAAGAUUGUAGUCUGAGUGAAAAUAUAAAUUAUUUAAAACUUUCAACAACGGAUCUCUUGGUUCCGGCAUCGAUGAAGAACGCAGCGAAAUGCGAUACGUAAUGUGAAUUGCAAAUUCAGUGAAUCAUCGAGUCUUUGAACGCACAUUGCGCCCCCUGGUAUUCCGGGGGGCAUGCCUGUCCGAGCGUCAUUUCUGCCCUCAAGCACGGCUUGUGUGUUGGGCCCCGUCCUCCGAUCCCGGGGGACGGGCCCGAAAGGCAGCGGCGGCACCGCGUCCGGUCCUCGAGCGUAUGGGGCUUUGUCACCCGCUCUGUAGGCCCGGCCGGCGCUUGCCGAUCAACCCAAAUUUUUAUCCAGGUUGACCUCGGAUCAGGUAGGGAUACCCGCUGAACUUAAGCAUAUCAAUAAGCGGAGGA
rnacentral:rRNA from 1 species